UUCAAAAUGUCAAAGAUAAAUUUCCAUAGACAUGGGAUAGGCAUGGUAUUUAAAAAAUUUCAAUCGUUGACAAAAAUGAUUGUAUAGAGCACUCUACAGUAAAUAAUUAUUGGAAUAACUAUUAAACAAUAACUUGCACUUGGUUUUGUACUCUAGAAAAGGCCCACUCCAAAAUCCAAGUAAGAAGAAUUACUUGUUUUUUUUACAAGAAAACCAUUCGAGGAUACUUAAAAGAGGAUGUAACCACUGUCCUUAUCUUACGGAGCAUUAGGCUGCAUAAUCAUCCAACUGAAUUAUAUCCUAACUGACCUAAAGAAGUCAUCAUAUCCUUUGUGAAAACUAGAACAAGAAUUAGAUUAAUGACCUUAAUAAAAACCUCAAACUAAAGAACGCAAGUACUAAUCUAAGAAAACUUAAACAGCAAUGAUAAGCGAGAACGUUUACUUCAGAGGGAGAAGUUAACACGACAACGACCGAUUAAAUAAUGAUCAAAAAAGAAGAAAGAGGACACGAAACAACCGUUUUUCCUUUCUAAUUGCUUAACGCAGUUUAUUCUCUACAAACUACUUAAACCUAUCAAUAUUUUAAAAAAAAAUAGCUGAUUUUAAAUGCACUUUUACGUUUAUUCUUUUUUUGUCAUAAAACAAUAAAUGAAUGUCUAUGAACACAUUAGGUUAAA
rnacentral:lncRNA from 1 species